ensembl:misc_RNA Metazoa_SRP Metazoan signal recognition particle RNA
ACAGGGAAAGGUGGUGCAUGCCUAUAUUCUCAACUUCUUGGGAGGCUGAGACAGGGGCAUUGCUUGAGGCAAGGAUUUCUAAGAUAUAGUGUGUCAUGCCAGUCAGAUGUCCACACUAAGUUUUUCGUCAGUGUGGUGACCUCCUGUGAGCAGGAGACUGCCAGGUUGCUCAAAGAAGGGUAAACUAUCCCAGCUUAGAAAUGAAGCGGUCAAAACUCUCAUGCUGAUCCAUAGUGGGAUCACACCUGUGAAUAGUCACAAUAGUCACAGCAUUCCAGCCUGGACAACAUAACGAUACCCUGUGUCU